rnacentral:siRNA from 1 species
UUCACAAACAGACUACUUUGC